UACGAAGGGGGCUAGCGUUACUCGGAAUGACUGGGCGUAAAGGGCGCGUAGGCUGUUUGCCGCGUCAGGCGUGAAAUUCCUGGGCUCAACCUGGGGGCUGCGCUUGAUACAGGCAGACUGGAGUGUGGAAGAGGGUCGUGGAAUUCCCAGUGUAGAGGUGAAAUUCGUAGAUAUUGGGAAGAACACCGGUGGCGAAGGCGGCGACCUGGUCCAUUACUGACGCUGAGGCGCGAAAGCGUGGGGAGCAAACAGGAUUAGAAACCCGUGUAGUCC
rnacentral:rRNA from 1 species